GAAACAGCUUCCAGAGAAGGCAAAGAUGCUUCUACCAUGAAGGGGGAAAAAUUGCUGGCUAGCAAGAAGAGAAGACAGAUAAGAAUGCAUGUGGUUGCCUCUGUGUCUUGUACUUUAAAAUACUACAGCUUGCCGGCCAGAAACUUGCCACAAGCUAUUCUGAGAAGUAAUGAGCCACAACUGAGGGUGAAGAGGAGAAUUCAUGCUGAGAAACUGCUGACAUGUAAAGAGGGAAGAGAAUGAGGAACAGAAACUCAAGUGACUUUCUAAGGCCACAAUUGGAGAGGCAGCAUUUCUGUCAUGGGGACUCUAUUUCUAAUUGGUAACAAGGCCAAAAAAACCUCUGAGGUUUAUUACCUGGUGGAUCUGUUCCUGUCAUUUUAUUCUUAAUAAAGUAAUCCAUGUCUGAUUCUACGUUACAGUUCUCCAAGCUCACUCGAACCUCUUCAUACAUCUGCAAAACCGAAAAGAAGGAUUUUAAGUUUCAGCUUUUAGUGAUGAGCUCUUAACACAGAAUCCUCUGCUAGUAUUUCUCUCCAUCUUAAAGGGACACUGUCCACAUUAAUCGUGUGUGUAUAUAUAAUAUAAACACAUUUCUCUACUUAUGCUGGGCACAACAUCUUAGAAUAUGAGGAAGAAGGGAGACCAGGUUUAAACCCUGGUACUAAAAAGAUUCUUUUAAUCCACUGGAAAGAGGCAUCACAAGAACCAAUGAUUGGAAAUUAAAGCCAGAUAAACUAAAACUCGAAAGAAGAUAAAUGUUUUAACAGUGAGGAUGAUUAGAACAAAGGAAGUAGUGGAAUCUCCAUCUUGAAGUCUUCAAAUCAAGGCUGGUUGCCUUUUGAGAAGGAAGGCUUAAGCUCAGUAACUUGUGCUGACUGAAUACAGGGGUAACUGGGCCUGUGUUAGAAAGGGGUCAGACUAGAUGAUCACACAGUCCCUUCUGGCCUUUAAAUCUGUUAAUCAGUUUCAGCAAUUUGUUAUUUCCAAAUGCAUCUCUGAACAUUUUCUUGGGGCCCAUGCUAGGAGACCCAGGCCCCGACCCUGUUCAAAGAACCAGGUCUUCCCCACUGAAGUCAGUAGAGCUCUGCAUCUGUGCAGACCUGUGAGGGAUUACACCCAGAUGGGGGGGGGGGGGCAGAAAAGAUUUAUUUUCCCACACAUACACUAAGAGUCUUAAGAAAACUGUAUAAUGCAAAAAAAUUCCAGGGGAUAUGCCUGAAAUUCUCAUCCAAAGAACUCAUGGGAGCAGGGGAAAAGGG